UAUUCUCAUCAGUUUUUUACUUUGGUUAUGAUGUGGAAUAUAGAUGUAGACCAAAUCAAGAAACAGGCUGGAAAACUCUCUGAUAUACUUGAUGAGCAACAGAAGCUUUUUCAACAAUUUCAAAGUAUUCAUAUGCAGAAAAUAGAAGAAUUUAAGGAGUUAUGUGAUCGACACUUGAAGAAUCUACAGGCUAUUAAGUGUUGUCGCCGAAAAGCUAUUAUUGAGGAAGCCAGAAAGCUAAUGGACUACUUGGAAAAGAGAGUUACUGAAGA